rnacentral:rRNA from 1 species
AUGCUCCUACGGGGGGCAGCAGUGGGGAAUAUUGCACAAUGGGCGCAAGCCUGAUGCAGCGACGCCGCGUGAGCGAAGAAGUAUUUCGGUAUGUAAAGCUCUAUCAGCAGGGAAGAAAAUGACGGUACCUGACUAAGAAGCCCCGGCUAACUACGUGCCAGCAGCCGCGGUAAUACGUAGGGGGCAAGCGUUAUCCGGAUUUACUGGGUGUAAAGGGGGCGCAGACGGCAAUGCAAGCCAGGAGUGAAAGCCCGGGGCCCAACCCCGGGACUGCUCUUGGAACUGCAUGGCUGGAGUACCGGCGG